UACGUAGGGUGCAAGCGUUGUCCGGAAUUAUUGGGCGUAAAGAGCUCGUAGGCGGUUUGUCGCGUCUGCUGUGAAAACUCAGGGCUUAACCCUGAGCCUGCAGUGGGUACGGGCAGACUAGAGUGUGGUAGGGGAGAUCGGAAUUCCUGGUGUAGCGGUGAAAUGCGCAGAUAUCAGGAGGAACACCGGUGGCGAAGGCGGUUCUCUGGGCAUUACCUGACGCUGAGGAGCGAAAGUGUGGGGAGCGAACAGG
rnacentral:rRNA from 1 species